rnacentral:misc_RNA from 1 species
GAUGAAGAACGUAGCGAAAUGCGAUAAGUAAUGCGAAUUGCAGAAUUCAGUGAGUCAUCGAAUCUUUGAACGCACAUUGCGCCCUUUGGCAUUCCGAAGGGCAUGCCUGUUCGAGCGUCAUUUAUCAACCCUCAAGCCCGGCUUGCGGUUGGGUCCCGCCGUGGGCGACCACGGCGGACCCGAAAGGUAAUGGCGGUGCCCGUGGGGCCCUGGACGCAGCGAGCUUCUCGGCACGCGUCCCGGCGGUCCCCGGCGCCGUCUCCACCAAUCCACCACGCAGAUUGACCUCGGAUCAGGUAGGGAUACCCGCUGAACUUAAGCAUAUCAAUAAGCGGAGGA